rnacentral:rRNA from 1 species
CCUACGGGUGGCAGCAGUAGGGAAUCUUGCUCAAUGGGGGAAAGCCUGAAGCAGCAACGCCGCGUGGAGGAUGAAGGUUUUCGGAUUGUAAACUCCUUUUGUUAGAGAAGAUAAUGACGGUAUCUAACGAAUAAGCACCUGCUAGCUCCGUGCCAGCAGCCGCGGUCAUACGGAGGGUGCAAGCGUUACUCGGAAUCACUGGGCGUAAAGAGCGCGUAGGCGGGAUAGCAAGUCAGAUGUGAAAUCCUAUGGCUUAACCAUAGAACUGCAUUUGAAACUGUUAUUCUAGAGUAUGGGAGAGGUAGGUGGAAUUCUAGGUGUAGGGGUAAAAUGCGUAGAGAUCAAGAGGAAUACUCAUUGCGAAGGCGACCUGCUAGAAUAUAACUGACGCUGAGGCGCGAAAGCGUGGGUAGCAAACAGGAUUAGAUACCCUUGUAGUC